CCGCCACUAGCUCACAGGGAAGAGCGACAACCUCGAUGUUGUAGUUCGGGGUUCGAGUCCCCGGUGGCGGACCA
rnacentral:tRNA from 1 species